UACAGAGGGGGCAAGCGUUGUUCGGAAUUACUGGGCGUAAAGGGCGCGUAGGCGGCCUGUUAAGUCGAACGUGAAAUCCCUGGGCUCAACCCGGGAACUGCGUCCGAUACUGGCAGGCUUGAAUCCGGGAGAGGGAUGCGGAAUUCCAGGUGUAGCGGUGAAAUGCGUAGAUAUCUGGAGGAACACCGGUGGCGAAGGCGGCAUCCUGGACCGGCAUUGACGCUGAGGCGCGAAAGCCAGGGGAGCAAACGGG
rnacentral:rRNA from 1 species